UGCGGGGCCCAGGAGGGCGGAGGGCGGAGAACGGCGGCGGCGCCCGAGCUUGGGCAGGGACUUCUGGAGCGGAGUCCGCGCGAGUCGGUGGCCCGGCGCUCCGCCCUCGCCCGCGGCGGGACCCGGGGCGGCUCGGUCCCCGGAGCAGGUCCUACUGCCCCGGGCGCGGACGCAGGUGUCCAGGGCCCCUGCCAGCGCGGCGGAACGGGUCCCUCGACUCCCGCCGCACCAUCGGCCGUUCCCGCCGCCUCGCUGCCCGUAGGGCCGCGGUAGUGCCCACCUGGACACGGACGGCGGGGUAGACGCUGAGACCCAGGCCUCCAUCCGCUGCUGCCCUGCACGGUCCUCGGUCCAGCCCGACCUCCCGACCUCACGGCUGCCCAGGUGGCCGGGCCCCACUCCACCGCUCUGGGCGACCCGCCUGCUGCGCACCCCAGACAGCGCCGUGGGGUGACCCGGGCGCCCUGCUGGGGGAAUGCCCGACGCCCCUUCCUCUUCGGGACCGCGGUGGGCACGGAUGUCGACCCCCAUUCCCCGCCCAGAGACUCUGGAGUGUUACCACUGUUGGCCGGUGACGAGUCCUUGCUUCCCCCAUGUUGAAGAAUAACACCAGAGAGCACGCCCAGGCCAGGUCAGAGUAGAAAUCAGAAGUUUAUUAAAGGACAGCAGAAAAGACUUCUCCGGAGGAAGAAGGGGACCCAAGAGGUGGAAGUGCGGUUGUCUCCCCUUUUUAUAGUUUUGGUGAUGGAAUGUAGGUGGGAAGGCCCGAGGGGUGGGACACAGGUGGGCCAAACAAGUAAUCUGGGCCUUCCCCUGUGACCCAGACGCUCGCCGUGCCACCUCUGCCUCCAGAUUGCUGCUCCUCUCAGGCUUCUCUUCCUGAUUCAGACUCAUCGUCCAGUCCCCAGCAGGACAAAGAGCCAAGGCAUCCUGUGAAAACAACACUUCACACCGACCACUCUCAGGAUCUCUGCCUGCUACAAGUCUCUGCCGUCGAGUCAACCAAUUGGUAAGUGGCUGCAAAGCUCUACAAAUAGAAUUGUAGUCCUCUGGCCAAAGGUGUUUUUUCUGAUAAUACAUACCUUAUGUAAGUAAAAAAGUAUUAACAUCAAAAUUGUUAGUUUUCUCAAUAAAAUAAAAAGGUAGAAAACA